rnacentral:lncRNA from 10 species
CACAGCAGCCCGCACAGACCCGUGGCCUGUGUCCUGUCUCCCCAUCCCCCCAGGACAGCCAGGCUGUGUAGACAGGGCAGGGGACCAGCAUCUUCUGAGGCCCCAGACACGGCUCCUCACACACCUCCACCCCGCAAGGGGGAUCCUCACGGGGCAGCAGUGAUGCCCCACGGAGUGUCCUGGAGGGUGGGGCAGGGUGAGCGCCCAUGCAGGCAGGGCAAGGCCAUGCAAGGCAGGCUCCCCAUCUCCGGCUCAUCAAACAUCUGCUGCCGCGGG